AAAGAGCUAAUUAGUUGCUGGGAAUUUUAGAAGUAUUCUCUCUUUCAUCUCUACAAACACUCUCUACAAAUACUUCUUCUCUAAAACCUCUUUUCUUAUACAUAUAUAUUUAUAUAUACAAGGUUUUAGUUAUAUAAGCUUAGUUCAACCAACCAAGCUCUCUCCCAACCCAACUAGCUCAACCACUACUACUUUAGGCCUCCCGUAGGGCUGCCCAAGUUCCGCCACUAAGCCAAAAUCCGGCCGAACCUCCGGCGAAUUUUUCCGGCGAACUUUCCGAUCGUUUUUGUAAGUGGUUAUUAUUUUAGCUUUGAUCCGAGUCUUAACCGACCAUUAUAUAUACAAGAGCUCGUUAUUAUUCUCGAUCUAUUCAUCUUAAAGCUCUUCAUCUUAUAUCUCUUAUAAAAGAGAUUUCUUAUUUCGAAUUAAAUUCAAACACGAACUAACAAAGUCGUGUUAUUCGAAAUAUAAAUAUAUAUACACGAACUAUAGAUUCGGUGUAUAUUUAAACGAACUAAGAUUCGUUACAUUUGAGUUAUAUACAUAAACAAAGUUUAUAUCUUUCGAAUAUACUCAAAUAUAUUUUGAUACAAACGAACUACGAUUUGUAUCUUCUUACGAACUAAAGAUUCGUAAUAAAUCUCGAAAACGAGAUUAAUAUUUGACGACGGUCAAAAUCAAUUUUAUUAAGCUUGAUUCUAUUCCCAACUAUCAUCGUAUUGUUCCGUGGGAAGAAAAUCUAAAAAGCUUACUUUAACUCUUUAACUUUACUUAGCACUAACAUAGCCAACUAACUUAUUUACUUUCCGCUAUUUACUUUCUGCACUUUAUUGUUAUUAUUUAUUGUUGUUGUAAUUGCGGAUUCUAGUUUGGCUAUAUCAUUAUAUUGUGCUAAAGUUAAAGAAAGACUACACUCUCUCUCUCCGCACUAAAUCGAUUAUAUCUAGUCUAAAAAGACUAUAUCAAGAGAAGAGUUGUAUUAAGAAGAGUCCAUAGCCAAAAGAGCUAUAUCAAAAGACUCUCUUAAAUCCGUACUUCGAAAAUAGACGUAUAUUCGAAGUAAUAUAUACUUAGUCAAAAAGACAAGUAUUAUACAAGUCUUAAGCGAGACUAAAGCUUAUAAGACUUUUAUUACUCCAACUAUAUACUCAUCUUUAGUAUUGGAGUAAAACAUCAAGUAUACUUAAAUCUUUCUAAAUCAUUCGGAAAGUAUACUUUA
rnacentral:lncRNA from 1 species